rnacentral:rRNA from 1 species
CCUACGGGAGGCAGCAGUGGGGAAUAUUGGGCAAUGGAGGAAACUCUGACCCAGCGACGCCGCGUGCGGGAUGAAGGCCUUCGGGUUGUAAACCGCUUUCAGUAGGGAAGAAGCGAAAGUGACGGUACCUACAGAAGAAGCACCGGCUAACUAUGUGCCAGCAGCCGCGGUAAUACAUAGGGUGCAAGCGUUGUCCGGAAUUAUUGGGCGUAAAGAGCUCGUAGGUGGUUCGUCACGUCGGAUGUGAAAAUCUGGGGCUCAACCCCAGACCUGCAUUCGAUACGGGCGAUCUAGAGUGUGGUAGGGGAGACUGGAAUUCCUGGUGUAGCGGUGGAAUGCGCAGAUAUCAGGAGGAACACCAAUGGCGAAGGCAGGUCUCUGGGCCAUUACUGACACUGAGGAGCGAAAGCGUGGGGAGCGAACAGGAUUAGAUACCCUGGUAGUCCACGCCGUAAACGGUGGGCACUAGUUGUGGGAACCUUCCACGGUUUCUGCGACGCAGCUAACGCAUUAAGUGCCCCGCCUGGGGAGUACGANCGCAGAAUAAACUAACAAUAGAAGUAGACGCGUGAGACGUCGCCGACGACGACGACGAGGGAGGUUAGG